rnacentral:lncRNA from 1 species
AAGCAUCACAGAUUCUUUUAGUCACCAACUCACUGAGAGAAGAGAUGAAUUGGGAAAAUUCGCAACGACUUUUCAAUAUUGUAACCAUCCCUAAAAUUUCGAUAGACAAAACUCCAGCUCUUCACACUGGAACGCGAAUUCCACAAAAUUUUCAUUAGCUUGCAGAGAUUCACAGAUGAACCUAACAUGCUAGAUGUCAACUCAGAAAGUCCAAACUCUGUUUGAAGAUGCUGCAUUUAUCCUUUCUCCACUGUACCUAACUGACAACUUUGAUGUCUGUGCCUCUGAGGUGCAAAACAAGAUUUUGUUGAUCAAGAAGGAAAUAAGUGCCAAAUACUCCUUUCCUAAAAUAUCAUUACAACUUUCAGCCAAGUUUGUUAGUGAUAUCAUCCAUUCUGUGCUAGAGAAUAUUGGUGGUCUAGUGAAGAUUCAUGAUCCAUAUUCACCUCUUUAUGUUCCCGAAACAGUAGUGGAACAUAUAGAAGAUGUUUCAAUGGAAUUGAAUUUGCUGCUAAAUUUCGUCUACUUUGUUUCAGAGAGGUUCCUAGAGAAUCAGAGCCAACAUCAUAUUAUUUUCUUCACUCAUGUUUUAGCUGUGUCUGUCCACACAUCGAUGCUUCUCUGGUUGUAUUUACCGGACUUGGAUCCUGAGCAAAUGAAUGUUAUGCUUUCUGAUUUCUUGCGAAUGAGGAUUAAGCCGAUUCAACCAUGCAUCUGCAAGAUCUAUCUUGAUGUCUUGCUAUCAUUAAAGUCGACAAUACAAUCAGGAUGGUAUCCCAACAUCCGAAAUGAGGAUGCAGUUGACAGCGAAGGGGGAUUUUUGGAGUACCAUCCUACACAAUAUGGUGGAGGUACCAACUAAUAGUAACUCUAGUCAGAGAGUUGCUUUGAAGGAUCACUUGGAAAUCCUUCAAAAGAUGCUCAACCUUUUUGAGAGCCAAUAUCUUCCGUGUGCCAAUAAAAGAUCUUGAAUUUCUCUUCGAGAUAUAGAGAUUUGUGGUUAUUGAUUGUUGGACUUCUGGUAUACUCAUUAUAUGAAGAUGAGGAGGAGAAGGAAGACAUGGCACCAGGAGGAGUGAACAUCCCACAAUUUCUUGAUUUGUCAAGCAACAUUCAACGUCUAAGCAUAGACAUCUACCUCACCAUUCGGAAGGCGUUCCAAUCUAAUUUGCCUAGGAUUCAUGGACUAGGCUAUGUUGAUUGCCAUUUAAACAACCUGAAGAAGUUCCAAAUCCUCCACUCAGAUUCACUAGCUUCUGUCAUGGACAAACUUCAAUCAAUUCAGAAGGAAUUUGAGAGCUUGCAACCUUUUCUACAGGCUGUUGCAGAAGAGCGACACAAUGACCUCGACGAAAUUCAACAUUGUGCUACACAAUUGAUUGGCAAAGCACAUGAGGUAGAAUACAUAGUUGAUGCUUGUAUAAGGGAAGAAGCUCCUGUCUGGUGCCUCGAGCAUUGGAUCAUACAUAUCAUGGAGGAGAUUACUCUUAUCAGAGAAGAGGUAGCAGAGAUCCGUGAAAAGAAAAUGGAUUUGGUAGCAUUGAACACUGUCCCAGUUCAUACAUCAAAUUUGGCAAGGUCUCCAAUGAUGAAUGAAGAAAUUAUUGGUUUUGAGGAUGUCAUAGAAAAGUUAAGAGACCAACUAAUAAAAGGCAAGAAAGGGCGCGAUGUUAUGUCAGUUGUUGGUAUGCCAGGUCUAGGCAAGACAACUUUGGCCUACAGACUCUACUAUGACAAGUCAGUCGCUUCGCACUUUGAAAUUCGUGCACAGUGUUGUGUGUCUCAAGUAUAUUCACGUAAGGACUUGUUAAUAGCAAUUUUACGUGAUGCUAUCAGUGAGAACUUUGAGUGUAGAGAAAAACAAGCUGAUGAAUUAGCUGAUCUUCUUCGCAAAACUUUAUUUUCCAAAAGAUAUCUCAUCCUUGUUGAUGAUGUGUGGGAAACUAGUGUGUGGGAUGAUCUAAGAGGUUCUUUCCGUGAUUCCAAUAACGGAAGUAGAAUUAUUCUAACAACGCGGGAUCAUGAAGUUGCCAUGUACACUAAAAUUCGAAGUGAUCCCCUUCUGCUUCGUAUGUUUAACAGUGAUGAAAGUUGGGAGUUACUCCGAAAAAAAGUGUUUGGUGAAGAAAGUUGCUCUCCACUCCUAACAGAAAUUGGGCAACAAAUAGCAAAUAAGUGUGGUCAACUGCCUCUUUCAGUUGUUUUGGUGGCUGGUAUUCUGGCUGAGAUGGAGAAGAAAGUAGAAUGUUGGGAACAAUUGGCCAACAAUUUAGGUCCUCACAUUCACAAAGACUCAAGGACCGUUAUAGAACAAAGUUAUCAGAUUUUACCCUAUCGUUUGAGGCCUUGCUUUCUUUACUUUGGAGCACUUUUAGAGGAUAGUGUGAUUAGUGUUCCAAAGUUAACACAGUUGUGGAUCUCAGAAGGAUUCGUAAAAAGUUGUGAAGGCAAGAGAUUGGAGGAUAUAGCAGAAGGCUAUUUGGAAAAUCUUAUUGGAAGAAAUCUAGUGAUGGGAACCAAGAGGAGUUCUCGUGGUAAGAUCAAAGCAUGUCACAUUCAUGACCUAUUGCAUGAUUUCUGCAAGGAGAGAGCAAAGGACGAUAUGCGUCUCCUAUGGCAAAAAUGGUAAUAUACCAAUCAUUGCUACUCUUUUCACUUAUAUUGACAUUUAAUCAUAUAAUUUUACUAAUUUCUGUAUAUAUUUGCAGGGAUCAAAAUGCCAAUCCGUCUUCUCGCCUUUCUGGUCACAAGCAACUAGCUCAUCGCAUGUGCAUUUAUGGUGAAGGGUAUCGUGCUGGAGAUUGGAGCUCGUGCUUGUCACAUGUUGUCUCUAUAAUUUUGCAUAACAAUCGUCUUUCAGUUGGCCUCGACUCGCACAUUUUCCACAGCUUCAAGUUUCUAAAAGUGUUAGAUAUGGAGUUCACUAGAAUUAGUUCUUUCUCAUUUGAUCUAGUCUACCUCAGGUAUUUUGCUGCAGAAACGUCUCGCUUUUCAAACAAAGCCGGUUGUCGGGAACUUGAAACUCUGAAAUUCAAAUCUCUCAGUGAAAUGUCACUACCCAUUACACUCUGGGAGAUGGAUAAAUUGAGACAUGUGGAUAUUUCCGAUUGCAGCUUCACCAGUGAAAUUUCAAGAGAAUUGAUUGAGAACUCCAAAGACCUUCAUGAUCUGCAAACUCUAUCCACUCCGUGUUUUUCUUGUGCACAGGAAGCGGAAUUGAUUUUGAGAAAAACACCUAAUCUUCUGGAACUGAGAUGCAAAGUCAAGGGUGUUGAUUACUUUCAGCGCUAUGUAUUGAACUUUCCAGCACGGAUUGAAACGCUCAAGAUUCAUCUUAGCUACACACCUGACACUAAAACAAUCCCCUUCCGCAUCUCCGCGCCAACUCUCACAAACUUGACACUGAAGAACUUUUACCUAUAUCAUCAGCAUUUAUCAGAAAUUGGUUCACUUCAGAACCUUCAAGUGCUCAGUCUGAAAGGUAUUUCCUUUAAAACUUAUAAAUGGGAAGUGCGCAAUGACGAGUUCCCUCAGCUCAGAGUCUUGAAAUUACAUGCUGGAAAAGUUCACUUUGAAAAUUGGUCUGUCGCGGAUGAUGCCUUUCCUAACCUUGAACGCUUGGUUUUGAGGGAUUGCAAAUUUCUUAAGGAGAUCCCUUCUUGGUUUGGAGAAAUCUCUUCUCUGAAGUCCAUUGAGGUAAGGAAUUGCAAUAAAAAUGUUGACAAGUCAGCCAGUGAUAUCAGGGAAACACAAGUUGAAGAUUACCAGAAUUCCAAGUUCGAGGUCUUUAUCACCAGAGAGAAUAACAAGUCAGAUUCAGGUACGCAACUCAUAAAAUUUAACUAUGACCAUUCUAAAACUCUGUGAAUUCAUUUCUUCUGUUACUCUAACUUCCUUUUUUAAAGGUAAAAUUCUUGAAAUAGCACCAAGGUUUGAAAUACUAUUGUGCACCUCGACUAAUUCUAUAGGUACCUACUACCUCUAACCGCACAUGUACUAGAUAACUGAUGAUCAAAAGAAAUCAACUAGUGACUUCAGAAGAGACCCAUGAGGUCUCAAGUUCAAAUCCAGUAGAGGCAAAAACACUAUGCGAUGAUGGGGAGAGUUACCAGGUACCUAUGUUGGUGGGAGAAAGCAGGUACCCCUAGAAUUACUCAAAAGUGCGCACAAGCUAGCCCAAAUACCAUGGUUAAUUAUACCAAAAAAAAAAAAAUCAUUGUGCUCUUACUUUCUGUUUGGGUAUGUUAUUGUAGUAGUACAACAUUUUUGAGCAAUUAACUCAUUGGAACCUUUUCUUUUUUAACAGAUUAUGAAGACUAGAGUUGUAUCAGGAGCUGUUUAGAAGAUCAGUAUGUACUUUUUUUAGAAGCUUAAUUAAGAAAUCAUGUACUUUUGGUCUUGAAUGUAUUGAGUAACAUUGAAUCCAUGUUGGACUAUAGUUAUUAUAUGAGCUAUUUAUAAUAUUUCUAAAUUUCUUUUUCUUCUUACGUUAGUCCAUUUACACUCAUCUUUCAUGCUAUGGAGGAAGAACUUUGACGUAACCGGUAAAGUUGUUGUCAUGUAACUAGAAGGUCAUGUACGAGUUCGACAUGUGGAAAAUACCUCUCGCAGAGAGUUUAGUGCAUUAGGCUACCCUAAUUUUGUACUCGUUUUGUAUUCCUUCCAAUGCCUGCUACUCAAACCCUCUAUCCUAUCUCGGGGUCACGUCAAGUAGAUUCCACUUUAGAGAUAAGUUUUUUAUCUUAAUCGAUCAAAAUAGAUUAAGACCGUCAAAAGUUACUUAGUCUCAUUCGAGAAUUUAAUCUCCUUAGUGUGACAAAGAGCCCAUUCAAUAGCAUUUGUGCCAGCUUGAAAGGACGUACUACCAUGAUAUCUAAUGCUCUCUCAAUGUCAAUAGGGACUCAACAACUUUUGGUAAAAUAUAAUAAAAGUAACGUCGAUAAGGAUUCAACGACUUUUUGGUGAAAUAAAAUAUAUAAAAGUAAAGUAACUACUUCCUAAAAUUAUCCAAUUUGUAGACCACAAGUUACCUUUGUCUAUGAACCUUUUUUGUUAACUUUAAUGAGUAAUUCAUUUGUUUAUUUCCCUCUUGUUAUUAAAGCUAAAGAAGUCUGGCAAUAAUUUAUACAACAUUUGGUAUGGUAGAAAAAAAAGUUAUUUAUAUAUAAAAUUAAUACAAGAUUUGGUUGACAAUUUAGUAACCCACAAUCCACAUAACUAAUAUUAUGAGUGAACCUAUAUAUUAUUUUAUGCAUGAUAGAAGGUGGAAUAACUAAUACAUGAAAAACUAAUUCCAUAUAAAAUAAUGGCUUAAGUCAUCAGUGGCCCCUUAAAGUUGUCCGCAUAAUUCACUUAGACACCUCAUCUAAGGCUUGUAUCUAUUGAACACCUCUACCAUUCUGAAUUUGAACCAUUUGAACAUUUUUUUGAGAAUAAGCCAAAAGUAGAAAAUGUGUGAAAUACACUCGCGCUGACAUGUCAAUUUGACUAAUUAUAUACUGACAUGUGUAAUUUUUUAAUCCAAAAAAUUAUUUAAACAUUAUAUUAAAAGUAAAAAAAAAAGGAAAUUAUUUUAAAGUUAAAAAAAAAUGAAAAAAAACUUGAACUUAAACCACCCCACUUCCCCUGCUAUCCACUGAAGCCCAACUCACAUUUCCCUCUACAAUACCACCCCGUUAAUGGCGACCCUCCCUCUCCCUGUACAGUGCCAUCUCCAACACGACAAAUCUUCUUUUCCAUUAGCCUAUUUUUCAAUUAUAACUUUCUUCUUCGUCUCGUUUUAGGUAGAGAAAGAUGGGGAAAAAAAUCUCGCCGGAAAAUUAAUAAGUUCCGAUUGUCAUUGUCGGAAAAAAUGGAGUUAUUUCGAUUUUUUUGUGUUUCAUAAGAACAUCCUUACAUUCUGCCAAUAUACAUCAAUUUAAAGUCAAAACAACACAUUCAGGACAAAUCAAAAAACUUCAAUAAAAAUUUGACCAAAGCAAAUAAUAAAUAAAAAUUUAACACCAAAUUACUAAAUUAACAGCAAAGAGACAGACCCAAAACUUAAAGCACUUUACAAAUUAAACAUGAUGAAAAUGACGGUGAUAAUGGUGGAAUGGUGGUCAGCCAAUCCUAAUAUGGAGGACAACGGAGGAAGGGAUGCCAAAGAAGAUGAAGAAGAAAUAAUAUUUUUUUUCCAAAAAAAAAACGCUCAAUUUAAAACCUUUCACGCGCCUAAAGGGUGUGAAUCACAAACAAUGUGCCACCUAGGCAAAAAAUGUUCAAAUGGAUCAAAUUCAGAAUGGUAGAGGUGUUCAAUAGGUACAAACCUUAGUUGAGGUGUCUAAGUGAAUUAUGCAGACAACUUUAAGGGGCCUCAGAUGACUUAAGUCUAAAAUAAUACAUUGGUUCACUCAUAACUAAUUAAUACAUUACUAAUAUGUACAUAACUCUAACCAGCUACCAAACGAUAAUUGUGUGAGGUAAAUUUGGUUAGUUUUAAUUGACUAUUGAGAUGCCCAUCACAUGUUUGAUAAAAUGCCUGAAAGAGAUUGAAAGCAUGUGUGUGUGUGUCCAUUUGCAUCCCCUUAAUUAAUAUUCAUGUGAUCAAGGGUGUUUGAAAAUUGAAACUGCAGUAUAUAUCUCUAAGAAGUUGUUUUUGAUCGAUAUUCAUAGUAUUAUCUUCUAUAUGCAUAGUAUAAUAUUUCGACAAAGGGUGUUCGAGUGACCACCCUUAGGUCAAUGUAGCUAUGCGAAAAGCAAUAGAUCCCAUGAAUGCUAGAACAUUUGGAAGUUUUAUCAUCCUUAGUAGCUGAAAUCCAUACUGUAUCACUCGUCGAAGCCAGAGAUUGAUCUAAGUAUUCAUUUUUUGAGUGAUUCUAUACUCUUAAUUGUUUAGUUCCUUAUAUUGUGCUCCUUGCAAGUUGAACUAUAAUUAUAUAUAUGAACUGUCUUUAGUAUUUCUAGGCUUUUAUUUUCUUCUUUUAAUAGAUACUCUUCGAUUUGUGAACUAUAAACAUAUUGCAGCACUUUUAUUUACCGUUUUCUUGUGUGAUUAUUCAGAUCUAAUGAUUGUUUGAGCUUCUCUAAUCAGUUUUUUUUCCCUCCGUAGGAGCUCCCACUUUCUUUGCUCCCUUGGUGACUCGAACUCACAACGUUACUAUGGGAAGUGAGGGGUGUUUACCAUCCGAGCAACUCCCUCUUAUCAGUUACAUAUUAAGAAAAGGCUUAAUAGUUCGGGAUCCCCUGAACUUGACACCUUUUGUUCGGUGUACACCUGAACUAUUCUAAAUGGCCUAGUCUCAGCAAGUAGUUCUCUUUAUAGUCAGUCAAAACACUUCCAAGAAUAAAACUCUGUUACUUCCUAGAUUAUAAGUCUAGCUAUCUGAAUAGGGCCCAAGCUGGUUCAUACUUCUUAUCUUAAUAAUAAAGGUGAGUCAUCCUAGGAUUAGCAGUCAGAGAGAGAAUGCUGAGUUCACACGGGACACUAGCUGUUAAUUAAUCGGCUCAACUAAUUAAUCAUGUCAUCAAGUUGCUUUUAGUGUAUAAUAAUGAAUUGUUUAUCUUAUAAUGUGGGCAAUAAUGGAGUAGCAUAUUAAGAUAUAUUAUGCUUUUGUGACUUGAACAAACUUGCCAAUUCAAAAUUGAUUUUUAAGCUUAUGUCAGUGGCCCUACACUUGAGAAACUAGUGUGUUGUACAGUUGAUAAAAUGUUACUUAGCAUGUAAUGUCGUAGUAUCAAACAUCUGAGUUCAAAAUUCAUCACAGAUUCUUUUAGUCACCUACUUUUGAGAGAAGAUGUCUUGGGAACGAAUUCAACAACUUUCCGAUAUGUUAAACUUCCCUAAAACUUCAAUAGAUAGUGUCAUGCUCUUUACACUGGAACGCAAAUUCUGUGAUAUUUUCAUUAGCUUGCAGAGUUUCACAGAUGAACCUAACAUGCUGGAUGUCACUCGGAAAAUCCAAACUCUAUUUCAAGAUGCUGUAUUUGACCUUUCUCCACUGUACCUAACUGAGUACUUUGAUCUCUAUGCCUCUGAGGUUCAAAGCAAGAUUUUAUUGACCAAGAGGGAAAUUAGAGCCAAAUACUCCUUUCCUAAAAUAUCAUUACAACUUCCAGCCAAGUUUGUUAAGGAUAUCAUCCCUUCUGUGCUAGAGAAUAUUGGUGGUCUAGUGAAGAUUCAUGAUCCAUAUUCACCUCUUUAUAUUCCCGAAACAGUAUUGGAACAUAUAGAAGAUGUUUCAAAGGAAUUGAAAUUGCUGCUAAAUUUUGUCUGCUUUGCAGCAGAGAAGUUCAUAGAGCCUCAGAGCCAACAUCAUGUUAAUUUCCUCACUCAUGUUUUAGCUGUGUCCGGCCACAUAUCAACGCUUAUCUGGAUGUAUUUACCAGACUUGGCUCCAGAGCAAAUGAAUGUUAUGCUUUCUGAUUUCUUGCGAAUGAGGAUUAAGCCAAUUCAACCAUGCAUCUGCAAGAUCUAUGUUGAUGUCUUGCUAUCAUUAAAGUCGACAAUACAAUCAGGAUGGUGUACCAACAUCGGAAGUGAGGAUGUAAUUGACAGUGAAGGCAGGUUUUUGGAGACCAUCGUACACAAUUUGGUGGAGGUGCCAACUAAUAGUAACUCUAGUCAGAGAGUUGCUUUGAAGGAUCACUUGGAAAUCCUUCAAAAGAUGCUCAACCUUUUGAGAGCCAAGUUCUUGAUUUGUCACCGAGAGGAGUGAACAUCACACAAGUUCUUGAUUUGUUAAGCAACAUUCAACGUCUAAGCAUAGACAUCUACCUCACCAUUCGGAAGGCGUUCCAAUCUAAUUUGCCUAGGAUUCAUGGACUAGGCUAUGUUGAUUGCCUUUUAAACAACCUGAAGAAGUUCCAAAUCCUCCAGUCAGAUUCACUAGCUUCUGUCAUGGACAAACUUCAAUUACUUCAGAAGGAAUUUGAGAACUUGCAACCUUUUCUACAGGUUGUUGCAGAAGAGCGAAACAAUGACCUCGACGAAAUUCAACGUUGUGCUACACAAUUGAUUGGCAAAGCACAUGAGGUAGAAUACAUAGUUGAUGCUUGUAUAAGCAAAAAAGCUCCUGAACUCCCAUCUUGUUGGUGAGACUUUGAUUCCCCACAUCGUGAUUCUUCCUCAUUUCCCCUUCCCCUACGAAUUUUUUUUAAAAAUAAAAUAAAAAUUUAAACUAACAAUACAGUACAAUAUAAUUGAUAUCAACCAUCCAAACAAGGUGCAACGGGUUGUCUGGUAGCUGUAUGAGAAACAAAUUAUCCAUAUGUUAAUUUUCGUAUAAUUUAUAUGAUGUUUCAUAGGUAGAUAAAUUAUAACUUCGUAUAAUUUAAAGACUAACUUUUGACUCAUAAGUUAAAAAUUAUAACUUGUGAUUUUUUUAACAUUUUACCUUAAAAUCAAUUGCUUAUAAGUACUUUAAUAGUUUACCUAAAUUAACACUUCAAAAGUCGUUAGAUAAAGUGUAUAAGAACAAUGCUAAAUAAAAUGUAUUAGUAAUGCUUGCAUCAAUUAUACAUAGAUUAUUUUCAUGCAUUAAAAAUUUACAAAGAUAUGUUUCACUAUUAUGGUGGAAAAGAUGUAAAAAAAAAAGAAAGAUUUUGAGGGGGCAAUUGAGUGAUUAAUCAUGCUAAUGCAUGCAUUAAAACGAUUGCAUUGCGAAUAUUUAGAAAUUCAUGGUAUUAGCAAUACACAGCUAUACAUAGAUUAGAAAAGAGUAGCAAACAAAGUAGUAGUAAUAGACAAGGGUAAUGCAUGCAUUAUUUUCUAAAUAACGACAACUAAAGGAGAGAAUGGAUAAUAAGUAGCAAGCAGAGCUCAUAGCAUAGAGUCUAUUCUGGUAGGCAAUCUUGUGAAGAAAUUGAGUGGAGCAGAUGGUAGGUUGUGAUGGAACCAUGGAUGUCUUAACACAUAAAAUCCAGUGACAAGAAUCACAACUCGAAAACCCAUGAAAUAGAGAACAAUGACAGCAAUCAAGCAGGAAAUAACAAACAGUUUGGUCACUCUAGGGUCUCUCCAUGACAGCAAAGAGUGCAGCCUCUCCCCUUGAUUAGCCAUGUCACCAACCACAUUCUGAAAACUUCCAGCAAUACUUUUCAAACGCUCAUACCUUAUCCGAACAAUAUCAGUUGGACGUGAAGUAGGGAAAGUAUCAAACUCCUCGUCCAGUUCAUCAGGAUGAGCAUCAUCAGCACAAGAAAGACGAAUGUCCAUGAAGGGAGGACGCCUAGGCCUAUAUCUAUAGUUCCAAACUACGAUUAAGGAGAGCGAGAGGAAGAUGGUAGGCAGAAUAAGCUCCGGAUAUAGAACUAGUAUCAAGAACAAGACAUGGAUCACAAGAGUCGUAAUGGGAUUUUUCCAAUUGCAAAUUUGAUCAAACCAUUUCCAAAUAGCAAUUAAUCCACCUAAAACAUCCAUAAUUCUUAAAAAGUUGGCUCUGAUUUUCCUCAUACUCCACAUGUCAGACUUGACAUCUAACAUAUACUCCACUAUCUCUUUCCUCAAAGGUGGCUCAGCACGACUCAACCACAUAGAGACCAUCUGACUAGCCUGAUGCCUCAAGUUGUCCAGCUUAAUUAGUUUCUCAAACUGAUUACCUUCAACAAUUAGUGGAUGAAUAUGGUGCAUUUUGGGUAACAGAGGCUGAGAGAACAAAUGCAUCAUAUUCAUUAAUGAUGAGCAAUUAAACCUAACUGCCAAGUGAAUUUCACCCAUCUUCUUUACCCCAGUAGGAUGCAACACCAGUAGCGGAUAAGAAUAUGUGUAGACACGAUCUGUCUCGAGAGCUGAAAGACGGAUCCUGACCUUUCCAAUCCUCGAGUCCCUAGCCUGGCCUCCAGGUUUAUCUCCUCCAUGUAGAUGACAAUUAUCAAAUACACCAAUGGUUAUGACAGUGCAGGGAUCAAAUACUUCCCAAGUGUAUUGCUCGUUCCACUUGGGAGCAAGACUAUCUAUAAUUGUCCUUGUUUGGACCCACUUGUGCCCAUAUUUGGCAACACAAUAGGCAUCUGUCGAAGCCCUCCCAUCCUUUGUUUUCAUCGGCGGUAGUCCCUGAGCAUUCAGAAUACCCAAUUCAAGGACACCAAUGCUGGAUUUCUGCAACUGUUUUGCAGUUGGUCUAAGAUCACCACUACUGUAGUCUAUUGGUUCAUCCAGAACAUGGUACCCUCCUUCUAAAUAUAACCUCAUCUGAAUCCUGCUUGCAAAGCUUGUUUCCUUCUCCUUUUCUCCCUCAACAAUAGCAUGCUUUUCAAGAUUAUACCACUUGCUGUACAUAGGUCUGUGGUUCAACCUCCUCUCAAUGUACUGCAAAUGAAUAAGACAUUUUCCAAGUAUUACAUCUUUGUUUGGUGCAACUCUAUCUUCCACGCUCAAAAUCAAUGGCUCCUCAAAUGGUUCUGCUGCUACAAAAAUCAAAUCCUCAUUCCAAAUGGGAUUAAUAGUCUUGCUCCUGGAAACUUUGGUUAUCAAUUCCUGAUUUCCAAGGAUGGCCUUCACGUAAACUUCUGGAAACCUACUUCUGUCAGCGGAAAUUAAGUCCUGAGCCUCAAUCACAUUAACUCUAAGGUACCACAGCUUUGGUGAGAAGUAAAUCUUUGACCUUAUAUUCACAAGAGAAUCAGCACCACUGACAGUGGCUGCAUCCGAAUGCCAAGAUUCUGCAAAGGCUUCAUCAGCUUGAGUACCCAUCCAAACAGCCAUCAUCAACUCUCCUUUAACUUUGCUACCACUUCCGUCCUCCAACCUAUACCACUGCGGAGCAAGAGGACUAUCUGGGGGGACCCUUUUAGGGAUCUCAUUCAAAUCAAACAUAACACGACCAACAGAAUCAUCCUUAUCUUUCACGUUCACCUCAAGAACGGAAACCUGAAUCUGAUCCAUUGAAAAUGCAAACACCUGAUUCCAUUCAGGAUUCGUUUUCUUCACAAAAUGACGAGUUGUACCACUAUAGUUUCCCAGCCUAACCUCAACAUAAGGAUCAAGAUCCUUCCCAGGUAAAUCUUUCGCUUUCACCACCCGGACAUAAAGAUACUGCAUUUGCUCAACCAAAUCAUAGGUCCUAGUAAACAUAUCACCAGUAACCUUCCCUCCAUCAAGGUGGGCUGAAAAAUCUUCUUGAGGUGGUCUCUGCAUUUUUAAACCUUUCUACUUCUCCACCACAAUUUAGCCAAAUGUCCAACAGAUAACAAAACAAAUCCUAAAUAAUAUCUCUGAGGAACAACUCAAAACUACACUAAUACUCAAGAAACUUCAUAUACAACACAAUCCAAGUUUGUUUUAUCCUAAUUCUAACUUAAGGUUUAAAAAGAACCUCAUGAAGGAUAACCCCAAACUGCCAAAAUCAUUCACAAUCUCAGAUCUGGUUCAGCUGAAUGCUUCACCCUGCAAAACAUUUUUUAAGCUUAAAAAACCAUAUUUAUACAAAUAAGAUAUAGCAAGUACAAUGAAUAAAGUUUAUCAACAAACUCAGAGGUGGUCAGGUGAACACCCUUCACUGAAAUAUUAUAUCGUGUAUAUAAGUAUAAAUGGUUAAAUAUCACACUUUGCACACAGUUUUGGGCUAAAAUCAUCCUUGAAGUAUAACCCAAACUUAGUAUACAUCCUUAUACUAUAAUUAUGAACAAAAACAUCUUUUAACUAUACCAAACUUGACAACAAGCAUCCUUCUGUUAAUUUUUGUUAAAAAACUAAGAGCUGAAAUUAAAAAAUGUGUCAUUGACAAUACUAAGUUGCCUUGCCUUCAAGUUGGAAAUACACAACAACAAAAAUAUACUUAGGGCCUGUUUGGAAGGACACCCUGGUAAUUAGAGUCGAUGAAAGCUUGAAAUGUAAAAAUGAUUUCAUUUUAAGUUGAAUUUUCUCCUACUCCCUCCUUUUAUUUUUCUGCUAUUUUGUUCACUUCAUAUCAAAUUAAACAAAAAUAUUACACAAUUUGAUUUUCAAAAUUUUGGUACGUUUAUUCAUAAAAAAAUAUUAAUAUUACGCAGUGUGAAUUUAAAAUUUUAGUGCACCCAUUCAUCAAAAAAAAAAAAUUGCUUAUGUAAUUUUUGAACAUGCUUCAUGAAAUUUCUGACUGUCCACUUAGUCAACUCAAUCAAAAAAUACCCUUCUCCCAUACCAUAAAAAGAGGGAAAAAAUAAUUAAAACUUUCUAAUGUCAAGAUUAUAGCUCAACAAAUACCAAGAACGUAAAAAAAAAAAUAGAUUUUUCAAGAAGAUAUUUAUAAGUAACUUAUAAAUUCGAAACUAAAAAUUAUAAAUCGGUAACACUUAACUUUUGACCCUUUAUUUGGGGUUUAUUUUCAGCCUUAAACUUUUUGCGUUUACAAAUACUUUUAAAACUUAAAAAAAAAAAAAAGAAGCUAAAAAUCACUUAAAAUAAGCUAAUUUAAAUACACUUAUUUAAUUUUUUACAUGAAAUAAAUAAAUAUUAAAUAAGAGAAAUGAAUAUACCUUGAAGGGUUCAUGGGAGGUGAGUGAAAGAUGGUAUUUUUGCUGAUAAGUUUCUAAAGAUUGGAAUUUUGAGGAGAAAAAAACAAAAAGGUUUUGGUUGUUUUUUGGUAUCAAACUGAAGGAGAAUGGUUUAGAGAGGGAAAAAAAAUUAAGAGACAACGAAAAAUUAGUCUGACAUGGUGGGUGAGGGAUUAUUUUUAAUAAAAAAUGUGUUGGACUAGAAUAACUAAUAAAAAUAAGUUAUAAAUAAAAAUUAUGAGUGGUGAUGGCUGCAACUUGCAAUGGAAAAAUGGUGAUGGGAGCUUUCUGUCAAAGAAGAAGAAGAUAUAAAAUCUUUUCUUUUUUUGCUAAAAAAUUAUCCUUUUCACGGUCACACACUUUAUUACGUAGGUAUAAAUCUUAAUUGAGGUGUUUAAGUAAAAUAUGCGAACAUGACUAUCUAUGACCUAAGCCUUAAAUAAAAAAUUUGAAAAUUAUCUUCAUUUAUAUAAUAGUUUCAGAUCUAUACCAAUGCUCUAUCACGAAGUCUCCAUUUUUUCCAAUUCUCCUAACUGGCAGCGGCAAUCCGGUGGCAAAUCGAUGGUGGACUGGUAAUUUAUGAUUUCAUUUAUCUAUAAUUGAGAUGCGAAUUUUUUUUGAAUCAGUAUCCUACAUCUAAUUAAAGUGAUGAUUUGGAGUUGAAUAAUUAAAAUUUAAUUACAAACAAAUAAGACUACUAAACAUAAAAGCAGUAGUUCAUUUUUUCCUAACCUAACUUUAAAUAUAAGAAAAAUAGAAAAUCAUAAUUUUGGAUAUUCUAGAGUCUUUUAGUGAAAGAUAAAAAGUUGAAGCAUUUCUGAGUCUUAGCACUUUUAGUUAUGUGAUUAUAGAAAGAUUUUAAUUAUGAUGAGAUAGAUUUGAUAUGACGGGGAAAUUCUUCAAAUAAGAUAGGUAAAACGCUCUCUUCGAAAGAGAUAUAUACACUACAUCAAAAAUGAUAUUUAGCAACAGUUAGAUAAUGAUAAUAGUUUAAUUGCCACUAAAUAUAUAUAGUUUUAGUGGUAAUUAACACUCUUUGUAAAUGUAUCUAAAGCCUAUAGCGACAUUAGAUCUAAUAAUAAUUAACUAAUGUGAGUAAAAAUACUUGUUCAAAGGGAUUGGCAGUGCUUUUGUAAGCAUACUCAUAGAGAAGAGAGAAGGUAAGAUCGCGGCCGACUGGUUUGGGCAUCUGAAGCUCUGAAGCAGCCGCCGGGUUAUCAACAGCUUUUGACCUGUCUGCCUGGACAUAAAAAUACCUAAAAAAGAAGAAAGAAAAAGGAAAACGUUAUUGUAAAUGGCACGAGAAAUGGACUCACUCUACAAAUAAUUGUGUAGAUUUCAGUCCGUUAAAAGUAGUUGUUUUUGUUACAGUGAUACUUGUACUGCUUCUGCCUCUCAAGGACUUUAUGCAUUGAAUUCCUUUAUACCUUUAGUCUAACAACUAUCUGUUGGUUGCAAUCAGUAUGAAAGCAUCUGAGUUGCUCUCUCCUUCUUCCCCUUUGCAGAAGCAUCACAGAUUCUUUUAGUCACCAACUCACUGAGAGAAGAGAUGUCUUGGGAAAAUUCGCAACGACUGUUCAAUAUUGUAACCAUCCCUAAAAUUUCGAUAGACAAACUCCAGCUCUUCACACUGGAACGCGAAUUCCACAAAUUUUCAUUAGCUUCCAGAGAUUCACAGAUGAACCUAACAUGCUAGAUGUCACUCAGAAAGUCCAAACUCUGUUUGAAGAUGCUGCAUUUAUCCUUUCUCCACUGCACCUAACUGACAACUUUGAUGUCUGUGCCUCUGAGGUGCAAAACAAGAUUUUGUUAAUCAAAAAGGAAAUAAGAGCCAAAUACUCCUUUCCUAAAAUAUCAUUACAACUUUCAGCCAAGUUUGUUAGUGAUAUCAUCCAUUCUGUGCUAGAGAAUAUUGGUGGUCUAGUGAAGAUUCAUGAUCCGUAUUCACCUCUUUAUGUUCCCGAAACAGUAAAGGAACAUAUAGAAGAUGUUUCAAAGGAAUUGAAAUUGCUGAGAAAUUUCGUCUACUUUGUUUCACAGAGGUUCAUAGAGCAUCAAAGUUAUUCUUUUCAUCUUAUUUUCUUCACUCAUGUUUUAGCUGUGUCUGUCCACACAUCAAUGCUUCUCUGGUUGUAUGUACCGGACUUGGCUCCAGAGCAAAUGAAUGUUAUGCUUUCUGAUUUCUUGCGAAUGAGGAUUAAGCCGAUUCAACCAUGCAUCCGCAAGAUCUAUCUUGAUGUCUUGCUAUCUUUAAAGUCGACAAUACAAUCAGGAUGGUAUCCCAACAUCCGAAAUGAGGAUGCAGUUGUACAGCGAAGGGGGAUUUUUGGAGACCAUCCUACACAAUAUGGUGGAGGUACCAACUAAUAGUAACUCUAGUCAGAGAGUUGCUUUGAAGGAUCACUUGGAAAUCCUUCAAAAGAUGCUCAACCUUUUGAGAGCCAAUAUCUUCCGUAUGCCAAUAAAAGAUCUUGAAUUUCUUCUUCGAGAUAUAGAGAUUGUGGUUAUUGAUGUUGGACUUAUGGUAUACUCAGUAUAUGAAGAUGAGGAGGAGAAGCAAGACAUGGCACUGGGAGGAGUGAACAUCACACAAGUUCUUGACUUUUCAAGCAACAUUCAACGUCUAAGCAUAGACAUCUACCUCACCAUUCGGAAGGCGUUCCAAUCUAAUUUGCCUAGGAUUCAUGGACUAGGCUAUGUUGAUAGCCUUUUAAACAACCUGAAGAAGUUCCAAAUUCUCCACUCAGAUUCACUAGCUUCUGUCAUGGACAAACUUCAAUUACUUCAGAAGGAAUUUGAGAGCUUGCAACCUUUUCUACGGGCUGUUGCAGAAGAGCGACACAAUGACCUUGACGAAAUUCAACAUUGUGCUACACAAUUGAUUGGCAAAGCACAUGAGGUAGAAUAUAUAGUUGAUGCUUGUAUAAGGGAAGAAGCUCCUGUCUGCUGCCUCGAGCAUUGGAUCUUGGAUAUCAUAGAGGAUAUUACUCUUAUCAGAGAAGAGGUAGCAGAGAUUCGUGAAAAGAAAAUGGAUUUGGUAGCAUUGAACACUGUCCCAGUUCAUACAUCAAAUUUGGCAAGGUCUCCAAUGAUGAAUGAAGAAAUUAUUGGUUUUGAGGAUGUCAUAGAAAAGUUAAGAGACCAACUAAUAAAAGGCAAGAAAGGGCGCGAUGUUAUGUCAGUUGUUGGUAUGCCAGGUCUAGGCAAGACAACUUUGGCCUAUAGACUCUACUAUGACAGGUCAGUCACUGAUCACUUUGAAAUCCAUGCACAGUGUUGUGUGUCUCAGGUAUAUUCACGUAAGGACUUGUUAAUAGCAAUUUUACGUGAUGCUAUCCGUGAGAACUUUGAGUGUAGAGAAAAACAAGCUGAUGAAUUAGCUGAUCAGCUUCGCAAAACUUUAUUUUCCAAAAGAUAUCUCAUCCUUAUUGAUGAUGUGUGGGAAACUAGUGUGUGGGAUGAUCUAAUAGGUUCUUUCCAUGAUGCCAAUAACGGAAGUAGAAUUAUUCUAACAACGCGAAAUCAUGAAGUUGCCAUGUACACUAGAUUUCAAAGUGAUCCCCUUCCGCUUCGUAUGUUUAACAAUGAUGAAAGUUGGGAGUUACUCCGAAAAAAAGUGUUUGGUGAAGAAAGUUGCUCUCCACUCCUAACAGAAAUUGGGCAACAAAUAGCAAAUAAGUGUGGUCAACUGCCUCUUUCAGUUGUUUUGGUGGCUGGUAUUCUGGCUGAGAUGGAGAAGAAAGUAGAAUGUUGGGAACAAUUGGCCAACAAUUUAGGUCCUCACAUUCAUGAAGACUCAAGGGCCAUUAUAGAACAAAGUUAUCAGAUUUUACCCUAUCGUUUGAGGCCUUGCUUUCUUUACUUUGGAGCACUUUUAGAGGAUAGUGUGAUUAGUGUUCCGAAGUUAACACAGUUGUGGAUCUCAGAAGGAUUCAUAAAAAGUUGUGAAGGCAAGAGCUUGGAGGACAUAGCAGAAGGCUAUUUGGAAAAUCUUAUUGGUAGAAAUCUAGUGAUGGGAACGAAGAGGACUUCUCGUGGUAAGAUCAAAGCAUGUCGCAUUCAUGACCUAUUGCAUGAUUUCUGCAAGGAGAGAGCAAAGGAAGAUAUGUGUCUCCUAUGGCAAAAAUGGUAAUAUACCAAUCAUUGCUACUCUUUUGGCACAGUCAAGUUAUAUUGACAUUUAAUCAUAUAAUUUUACUAAUUUCUGUAUAUAUUUGUAGGGAUCAAAAUGCCAAUCCGUCUUCUUGCCUUUCUGGUCACAAGCAACUAGCUCAUCGCAUGUGCAUUUAUGGUGAAGGGUAUCGUGCUGGAGAUUGGAGCUCGUGCUUGUCACAUGUUGUCUCUAUAAUUUUGCAUAACAAUCGUCUUUCAGUUGGCCUCGACUCUCACAUUUUCCACAGCGUAAAGUUUCUAAAAGUGUUAGAUAUGGAGUUCACUAGAAUUAACUCUUUCUCAUUUGAUCUAGUCUACCUCAGAUAUUUUGCUGCAGAAACGUCCCGCUUUUCAAACAAAGCCGGUUGUCGUGAACUUGAAACUCUGAAAUUCAAAUCUCUCAGUGAAAUGUCACUACCCAUUACACUCUGGGAGAUGGAUAAAUUGAGACAUGUGCAUAUUUCCAAUUGCAGCUUCACCAGUGAAAUUUCAAGAGAAUUGAUUGAGAACUCCAAAGACCUUGAUGAUCUGCAAACUCUAUCCACUCCGUGUUUUUCUUGCGCUCAGGAAGCGGAAUUGAUUUUGAGAAAAACACCUAAUCUUCUGGAACUGAGAUGCAAAGUCAGGGGUGUUGAUAACUUUCAGUGCUAUGUAUUGAACUUUCCAGCACGGAUUGAAACGCUCAAGAUUCAUCUUAGCUACACACGUGACACUAAAACAAUCCCCUUCUGCAUCUCUGCGCCAAAUCUCACAAACUUGACACUGAAGAACUUUUACCUACAUUGUCAGCAUUUAUCAGAAAUUGGUUCACUUCACAACCUUCAAGUGCUCAGUCUGAAAGGUAUUUCCUUUGAAACUUGUAAAUGGGAAGUGCGUGAUGACGAGUUCCCUCAGCUCAGAGUCUUGAAAUUACAUGCUGGCAAAGCUCACUUUGAAGAAUGGUUUGUCGCGGAUGAUGCCUUUCCUAACCUUGAACACUUGGUUUUGAGGGAUUGCAAAUUUCUCAAGGAGAUCCCUUCUUGGUUUGGAGAAAUCUCUUCUCUGAAGUCCAUUGCGGUAAGGAAUUGCAAUGAAAAUGUUGACAAGUCAGCCAGUGAUAUCAGGGAAACACAAGUUGAAGAUUACCAGAAUUCCAAGUUCGAGGUCUUUAUCACCAGAGAGAAUAACAAGUCAGAUUCAGGUACGCAACUCAUAAAAUUUAACUAUGAACAUUCCAAAACUCUGUGAAUUCAUUUCUUCUGUUACUCUAACUUCCAUUUUUAAAGGUAAAAGUUCUUGAAAUAGCACCAAGGUUUGAAAUACUAUUGUGCACCUCGACUAAUUCUAUAGGUACCUACUACCUCCAACCGCACAUGUACUAGAUAACUGAUGAUCAAAAGAAAUCAACUAGUGACUUCAGAAGAGACCCAUGAGGUCUCAAGUUCAAAUCCAGUAGUGUCAAAAACACUAUGCGAUGGUGGGCAGAGUUACCAGGUACCUAUGUUGGUGGGAGGUAGCAGGUACCCCUAGAAUUACUCAAAGUGCGCACAAGCUAGCCCAAAUACCAUGGUUAAUUAUCAAAAAAAUAAAAAUUAUUGUGCUCUUACUUUCUUUUUGGGUUUGUUGUUGUAGUAGUACAACAUUUUUGAGCAAUUAACUCAUUGAAACCUUUUCUUUUUUAACAGAUUAUGAAGACUAGAGUUGUAUCAGGAGCUGUCUAGAAGAUCAGUGUGUACUUCUAUUAGAAGCUUAAUCAAUAAAUCAUGUACUUUUGGUCUUGAAUGUAUUGAGUAACAUUGAAUCCAUGUUGGACUAUAGUUAUUAUAUGAGCUAUUUAUAAUAUUUCUAAAUUUCUUUUUCUUCUUACGUUAGUCCAUUUACACUCAUCUUUCAUGCUAUGGAGGAAGAACUUUGACGUAACCGGUAAAGUUGUUGUCAUGUAACUAGAAGGUCAUGUACGAGUUCGACAUGUGGAAAAUACCUCUUGCAGAAAGCGAGAGCUUAGUGCAUUAGGCUACCCUAUUUUUAUGCUAUUUUUGUAUUCCUUCCAAUGCUUGCCACUCAAACCCUAUAUCCUACACUUUAGAGAUAAGUUUUUUUAUCUUAAUCGAUCAAAAUAGAUUAAGACCGUCAGAGUUACUUAGUCUCAUUCGAGAAUUUAAUCUCCUUGGUGUGACAAAGAGCCCAUUCAAUAGCAUUUGUGCCAGCUUGAAAGGACGUACCACCAGUCUACCAUGAUAUUUAAUGCUCUCUCAAUGUCAAUAGGGACUCAACAACCUUUGGUAAAAUAUAAUAAAAGUAACGUUGAUAGGAUUCAACGACUUUUUGGUGAAAUAAAAUAUAUAAAAGUAAAUAACUAUUCCUAAAAUUAUCCAAUUUGUAGACCACAAGUUACCUUUGUCUAUGAACCUUUUUUGUUAACUUUAAUGUGUAAUUCAUUUGUUUAUUUCCCUCUUGUUAUUAAAGCUAAAGAAUUCUGGCAAUAAUUUAUACAACGUUUGGUAUGGUAGAAAAAAAAAGUUAUUUAUAUAUAAAAUUAAUACGAGAUUAGAUUGACAAUUUAGUAACCCACUAUCCACAUAACUAAUAUAAUAUUAUGAGUGAACCUAUAUAUUAUUUUAUGCAGGAUAGAAGGUGAAAUAACUAAUACAUGAAAAAUUAAUUCCGUAUAAAUAUUUCAUAGGUUCACUCAUUACUAAUUUAUACAUUACUAAUAUGUGUUUAACUCUAACCAACUACCAAACAAUAAUCACGUCUGGUAAAUUUGGUAAGUUUUAAUUGACUAUUGAGAUGCCCAUCACCUGUUUGAUAAAAUGCCUGAAAGAGAUUGAAAGCAUGCGUGUGUAUGUCCAUUUGCAUCCCCUUAAUUAAUAUUCUUGUGAUCAUAUGAUCAAGGGUGUUUAAAAAUUGAAACUGCAGUAUAUAUCUCUAAGAAGUUGUUUUUGAUCGAUAUUCAUAGUAUUAUCUUCUAUAUGCAUAGUAUAAUAUUUCGACAAAGGGUGUUCGAGUGACCACCCUUAGGUCAAUGUAGCUAUGCGAAAAGCAAUAGAUCCCAUGAAUGCUUGAACAUUUGGAAGUUUUAUCAUCCUUAGUAGCUGAAAUCCAUACUGUAUCACUCGUCGAAGCCAGAGAUUGAUCUAAGUAUUCAUUUUUUGAGUGAUUCUAUACUCUUAAUUGUUUAGUUCCUUAUAUUGUGCUCCUUGCAAGUUGAACUAUAAUUAUAUAUAGGAACUGUCUUUAGUAUUUCUAGACUUUUAUUUUCUUCUUUUAAUAGAUACUCUUCGAUUUGUGAACUAUAAACAUAUUGCAGCACUUUUAUUUACUGUUUUUUUGUGUGAUUAUUCAGAUCUAAUGAUUGUUUGAGCUUCUCUAAUCAGUUUUUUUUCCCUCCCUAGGAGCUCCCACUUUCUUUGCUCCCUUGGUGACUCGAACUCACAACGUUAGGAUUGGAAGUGAGGGGUGUUUGUCAUCCGAGCAACUCCCUCUUAUCAGUUACAUAUUAAGAAAAGGCUUAAUAGUUUGGGAUCCCCUGAACUUGACACCUUUUGUUCGUUGUACACCUAAACUAUUCUAAAUGGCCUAGUCUCAGCAAGUAGCUCUCUUUAUAGUUAGUCGAAACACUUCCAAGAAUAGAACUCUGUUACUUCCUAGAUUAUAAGUCUAGCUUUCGGAAUAGGGCCCAAGCUGGCUGCCCCUUAUUACAUACUUCUUAUCUUAAUAAUAAAGGUGAGUCAUCCUAGGAUUAGCAGUCAGAGAGAAUGUUGAGUUCACACGGGACACUAGCUGUUAAUUAAUCAUGUCAUCAAGUUGCUUUUAGUGUAUAAUUAUGAAUUGUUUAUCUUAUAAUGUUGGCAAUAAUGGAGUAGCAUAUUAAGAUAUAUUAUGCUUUUGUGACUUGAACAAACUUGCCAAUUCAAAAUAGAUGUUUAAGCUUAUGUAUGUGGCCCUACACUUGAGAAACUAGAGUGUUGAACAGUUGAUAAAAUGUUGAUUAGUAUGUAAUGUCUUAGUAUCAAACAUCGGAGUUCAAAAUUCAUCACAGAUUCUUUUAGUCACCUACUUUUGAUAGAAGAUGUCUUGGGAACGUAUUCAACAACUUUCCGAUAUGUUAAACUUCCCUAAAACUUCAAUAGAUAGUGUCAUGCUCUUUACACUGGAACGCAAAUUCUGUGAUAUUUUCAUUAGCUUGCAGAGUUUCACAGAUGAACCUAACAUGCUGGAUGUCACUCGGAAAAUCCAAACUCUAUUUCAAGAUGCUGUAUUUGACCUUUCUCCACUGUACCUAACUGAGUACUUUGAUCUCUAUGCCUCUGAGGUUCAAAGCAAGAUUUUAUUGACCAAGAGGGAAAUUAGAGCCAAAUACUCCUUUCCUAAAAUAUCAUUACAACUUCCAGCCAAGUUUGUUAAGGAUAUCAUCCAUUCUGUGCUAGAGAAUAUUGGCGGUCUAGUGAAGAUUCAUGAUCCAUAUUCACCUCUUUAUAUUCCCGAAACAGUAUUGGAACAUAUAGAAGAUGUUUCAAAGGAAUUGAAAUUGCUGCUAAAUUUUGUCUGCUUUGCUGCAGAGAGGUUCAUAGAGCCUCAGAGCCAACAUCAUGUUAAUUUCCUCGCUCAUGUUUUAGCUGUGUCCGGCCACAUAUCAACGCUUAUCUGGAUGUAUUUACCAGACUUGGCUCCAGAGCAAAUGAAUGUUAUACUUUCUGAUUUCUUGCGAAUGAGGAUUAAGCCAAUUCAACCAUGCAUCCGCAAGAUCUAUGUUGAUGUCUUGCUAUCAUUAAAGCGACAAUACAAUCAGAAUGGUGUACCAACAUCGGAAGUGAGGAUGCAAUUGACAGUGAAGGCACGUUUUUGGAGACCAUCGUACAAAAUUUGGUGGAGGUGCCAACUAAUAGUAACUCUAGUCAGAGAGUUGCUUUGAAGGAUCACUUGGAAAUCCUUCAAAAGAUGCUCAACCUUUUGAGAGCCAAUAUCUUCCGUGUGCCAAUAAAAGAUCUUGAAUUUCUUCUUCGAGAUAUAGAGAUUGUGGUUAUUGAUGUUGGACUUCUGGUAUACUCAUUAUAUGAAGAUGAGGCACCGGGAGGAGUGAACCUCACAC